UUUCAAUAUUGGUUUAUUUUGGAUACAGUGAGGUAGUAGGCAUCGGAUAAAAAAAAAUUAGUCUUCCAAAAAAAUUGAGCGACAAAGGCUUUUGAUUCGUAGACUGUCAUGUUAACGCACUGUUAGACAGAGGGGUAGAUGUACCGGAUAUUUUAAUCACACAAUGCAAUGACACUCAAACUCUCUUGCACUCUGAUCAACUGUACCAUCUAUAUGCUGUAUGCUUGGUGGUCAACGUGCGGACAGUAGCGUGAGCAACUCAGGCGCGCUUUCCAAGCAAUUAAGCCUAGCAGACUUCGGCGGAAAACUGAAGCUGGCCAACUUUCGGGGGUUAAGGUUGGCAAUCAACCAAAACUGCGUCUUCGAAAAAUAAAAAAGACUAUCAACCCAUUACAUGACCGAUGCGCCGCUUUGGAAAAUACGCAAGCAGGGUUUAAGUCCCGUUGCCGCUGCGUUAAUGUCUGGCGAUUUACUAGAGCACAUAGCCGUGAGUACGCUAUCGAUCAAAACCACCAAAUUCUCCUUCCGAGGAAGUUGACCGGGCCUCGUUGUUUGAAGAGGUGCCAGCCGGAGUGACCGCCCGGCAGUCGCCACUCGCCAUACAGCCAUACAUCGCCCAAUGGUGUAACUCGCUUGGUACUCGUUGCCGCCCAAGCCAACCUAAGCCGGACCCAAUGUUACCGUUAUUUGAAGAUCCGCCACCUAAAGGACUGCCCGAACCGCGGAAGCUGAUCUCCCGUGGUCCUGCGAUUCCCCGCAGCAUCUCGUCGUGUACCUGUCGCUGCCCAAACAAUCUUCUGCCGGAGCUUAGUCCCCUUCGCAAGAAUUUAAAGCCACCCUGGCAUUAUUGUUUGAUGAGUGGCCGCCCGGAUCACCAUGUGAAUGGCAGAGCCUGCACACCGAGGGAACACCUCGUCUCCUACCAAAGCUAUAUAUCGAGUUGGUAGCCUAGGCGAUCAGUGCUUAUAUUGUCUUAUCUUAUCUGCCAACGCUGAGUGCGAUUCCUCUUUGGUACCUUAGAAUUAGGAAGGCAACGCAGUGCCCGUAGUACCCCGCUGCCCUCAAGAAUCGAUAUCCUGACGUUCAGUGUCGAUAACCCCUGAGAUUCCCUAAGCAAUAAUAUUACAUUUUAAACAUUUUAUCUUUACGGACAAUAUGGAAAAAAACUUCCGAUCGUGAAUCGUUAAGAAAAUAAAUCUAAUGUUGAAAUGUAUAGAUGUAUUUCCAAAUUAUCCGCUAUUCCUAAAGCAAUUGACGGAAUUGUAGCAUUUCAACUGCAAAAUUUGUUUAGUUCUACAUUACAUCGUUCCAUUACUUUCAUCGUUCUUGGCGGAAGUGGAAUCGACACAUAAAGUUAUCGGUAGCUCAACAAAUAACAUAAGCAUACAAAUAAAGUUAUCGAUAACAGUA